AGAACGAACGCUGGCGGCAGGCCUAACACAUGCAAGUCGAACGCCCCGCAAGGGGAGUGGCAGACGGGUGAGUAACGCGUGGGAACGUACCUUUCGGUUCGGAAUAACCCGGGGAAACUCGGGCUAAUACCGGAUACGUCCGCAAGGAGAAAGAUUUAUCGCCGAAAGAUCGGCCCGCGUCGGAUUAGCUAGUUGGUGAGGUAACGGCCCACAAGGCGACGAUCCGUAGCUGGUCUGAGAGGAUGAUCAGCCACACUGGGACUGAGACACGGCCCAGACUCCUACGGGAGGCAGCAGUGGGGAAUAUUGGACAAUGGCGAAAGCCUGAUCCAGCCAUGCCGCGUGAGUGAAGAAGGCCUUAGGGUUGUAAAGCUCUUUCGAGCGGGGAAGAUAAUGACGGUACCGCAGAAGAAGUCCGGCUAACUCGCGCCAGCAGCCGC
rnacentral:rRNA from 1 species